rnacentral:rRNA from 1 species
UGGGCUUGAAAUACAUCUGAUCGUCCACGAAAGUGGAUUUCUGCUUGCAGCAGAUGUACAGGUGCUGCAUGGCUGUCGUCAGCUCGUGCCGUGAGGUGUUCGGUUAAGUCCGGCAACGAGCGCAACCCGUGUCAUUAGUUGCCAUCAGGUAAUGCUGGGGACUCUAAUGAAACUGCCCGUGUCAAGCGGGAGGAAGGCGCGGAUGACGUCAAGUCAGUAUGGCCCUUAUGUCCAGGGCUGCACACGUGCUACAAUGGUCGGUACAGAGGGAAGCAAUACCGCGAGGUGGAGCAAAUCCUUAAAGCCGGCCCUAGUUCGGAUUGUAGUCUGCAACUCGACUACAUGAAGU